rnacentral:sRNA from 1 species
GCUGCUGAAACAGGUUUCCCCGGUUUGACAGAGCGGUAGCUGGGGCCUGGCCUGGAGGGUUUCUCUGACCCACAACCCUACCUGACUUCUUUCAAAAGAAAUCCCCCAACCUGGGGCCUUCAGGUGGGCGUGUGAAGGCCAAUGACUCAGACCAAGGUGCCAAUGCAGAGAUUGAAUACACAUUCCACCAGGCUCCCGAAGUUGUAAGGCGUCUUCUUCGACUGGACAGGAACACUGGACUUAUCACUGUUCAGGGCCCGGUGGACCGUGAGGACCUAAGCACCCUGCGCUUCUCAGUGCUUGCUAAGGACCGAGGCACCAACCCCAAGAGUGCCCGUGCCCAGGUGGUUGUGACCGUGAAGGACAUGAAUGACAAUGCCCCCACCAUUGAGAUCCGGGGCAUAGGGCUAGUGACUCAUCAAGAUGGGAUGGCUAACAUCUCAGAGGAUGUGGCAGAGGAGACAGCUGUGGCCCUGGUGCAGGUGUCUGACCGAGACGAGGGAGAGAAUGCAGCUGUCACCUGUGUGGUGGCAGGUGAUGUGCCCUUCCAGCUGCGCCAGGCCAGUGAGACAGGCAGUGACAGCAAGAAGAAGUAUUUCCUGCAGACUACCACCCCGCUGGACUACGAGAAGGUCAAAGACUACACCAUUGAGAUUGUGGCUGUGGACUCUGGCAACCCCCCACUCUCCAGCACCAACUCCCUCAAGGUGCAGGUGGUGGACGUCAAUGACAAUGCACCUGUCUUCACUCAGAGUGUCACUGAGGUCGCCUUCCCGGAAAACAACAAGCCUGGUGAAGUGAUUGCUGAGAUCACUGCCAGUGAUGCUGACUCUGGCUCUAAUGCUGAGCUGGUUUACUCUCUGGAGCCUGAACCGGCUGCUAAGGGCCUCUUCACCAUCUCACCCGAGACUGGAGAGAUCCAGGUGAAGACAUCCCUGGAUCGGGAACAGCGGGAGAGCUAUGAGUUGAAGGUGGUGGCAGCUGACCGGGGCAGCCCUAGCCUCCAGGGCACAGCCACUGUCCUUGUCAAUGUGCUGGACUGCAAUGACAAUGACCCCAAAUUUAUGCUGAGUGGCUACAACUUCUCAGUGAUGGAGAACAUGCCAGCGCUGAGUCCAGUGGGCAUGGUGACUGUCAUUGAUGGAGACAAGGGGGAGAAUGCCCAGGUGCAGCUCUCAGUGGAGCAGGACAAUGGUGACUUUGUUAUCCAGAAUGGCACAGGCACCAUCCUAUCCAGCCUGAGCUUUGAUCGAGAGCAACAAAGCACCUACACCUUCCAGCUGAAGGCGGUGGAUGGUGGCGUCCCACCUCGCUCAGCUUAUGUUGGUGUCACCAUCAAUGUGCUGGACGAGAAUGACAAUGCACCCUAUAUCACUGCCCCUUCUAACACCUCUCACCGGCUGCUGACCCCCCAGACACGUCUUGGUGAGACGGUCAGCCAGGUGGCAGCCGAGGACUUUGACUCUGGUGUCAAUGCUGAGCUGAUCUACAGCAUUGCAGGUGGCAACCCUUAUGGACUCUUCCAGAUUGGGUCACAUUCAGGUGCCAUCACCCUGGAGAAGGAGAUUGAGCGGCGCCACCAUGGGCUACACCGCCUGGUGGUGAAGGUCAGUGACCGCGGCAAGCCCCCACGCUAUGGCACAGCCUUGGUCCAUCUUUAUGUCAAUGAGACUCUGGCCAACCGCACGCUGCUGGAGACCCUCCUGGGCCACAGCCUGGACACGCCGCUGGAUAUUGACAUUGCUGGGGAUCCAGAAUAUGAGCGCUCUAAGCAGCGUGGCAACAUUCUCUUUGGUGUGGUGGCUGGUGUGGUGGCCGUGGCCUUGCUCAUCGCCCUGGCGGUUCUUGUGCGCUACUGCCGACAGCGGGAGGCCAAAAGUGGUUACCAGGCUGGUAAGAAGGAGACCAAGGACCUGUAUGCCCCCAAGCCCAGUGGCAAGGCCUCCAAGGGAAACAAAAGCAAGGGCAAGAAGAGCAAGUCCCCAAAGCCCGUGAAGCCAGUGGAGGACGAGGAUGAGGCCGGGCUGCAGAAGUCCCUCAAGUUCAACCUGAUGAGCGAUGCCCCUGGGGACAGUCCCCGCAUCCACCUGCCCCUCAACUACCCACCAGGCAGCCCUGACCUGGGCCGCCACUAUCGCUCUAACUCCCCACUGCCUUCCAUCCAGCUGCAGCCCCAGUCACCCUCGGCCUCCAAGAAGCACCAGGUGGUACAGGACCUGCCACCUGCAAACACAUUCGUGGGCACCGGGGACACCACGUCCACGGGCUCUGAGCAGUACUCCGACUACAGCUACCGCACCAACCCCCCCAAAUACCCCAGCAAGCAGGUAGGCCAGCCCUUUCAGCUCAGCACACCCCAGCCCCUACCCCACCCCUACCAUGGAGCCAUCUGGACUGAGGUGUGGGAGUGAUGGAGCAGGUUUACUGUGCCUGCUUGUGUGGGGGCCAGCCUGAGCCAGCGGUGGGAGGUGGGGCCUUAGUAAUAACACCGCUGCCUCACCCAGGCACAGGGAUUAGGCUGAGUGAAGAUUCAGGGAGGGUGUGCUCUGUGGUCUCCUCCCUGCCCUCUCCCCACUGGGGAGAAACCUGUGAUUUGCCAAGUCCCUGGACCCUGGACCAGCUACUGGGCCUUGUGGGUUGGGGGUGAUGGGCAGGUGAGCAUAAGUCGGGAGGGAAAUGGGGAAGA